GAUGAACGCAGGCGGCGUGCUUAACACAUGCAAGUCGAACGGAAAGGCCCUGCUUUUGCGGGGUGCUCGUGAGGCGAACGGGUGAGUAAAACGUGAGUAAAAUGCACCUGUCUUAGGGAUAAAAUCAGGAAAAUGGGGCUCAUACAGGAUAGGAGAUUCUGCUGCAUGGUGGGGGAAGGAAAGAUACGGCGGUUGGGGAUGGACUCGAGGCUUAUCAGCUUGUUGGGGGGGUAGUGGCUUUCAAAGGCUUUGACGGGUAGCCGGCCUUAGAGGGUGAACGGCCACAUGAGGACUGAGAUACGGCGCAGACGCCUACGUGAGGCAGCAGUCGAGAAUAUUGCGCAAUAGGCGGGAGCCUGAUGCAGCAACGCCGCGUGCGUAAUGACGGCCUUCGGGUUGUGAACCGCUUUCGCCUGUGACGAGGCGUGAGUGACGGUAAUGGGUAAAGAAGCACCGGCUAACUACGUG
rnacentral:rRNA from 1 species